AUGCCAAGGGUUCAGGGUGGUGGCCUGGACAACCCGUUCACUGAGCAGGAAGUGUGGCAAGCGAUCAAGCAAUCGCCGGCGGAAAAAUCACCUGGCCCGGAUGGUUUCUCCGGGGUGUUCUUCAGAAGCUGCUGGCCAAUCAUAAAAGGGGAUGUUAUGCAAGUUUUUCAUCAGUUCUACCACUUAGCCGGGGGGAACUUCCAAGCCCUCAACACAGCUGUCGUAGUCCUACUCCCCAAAAAAGAUGGUGCUGCCGCAAUCAACGACUACAGACCGAUUAGCUUAAUUCACUCGGUUGCAAAACUGAUCUCCAAAGUGCUCUCGCUCCGCCUUGCAACGGUGAUUCAAAGCUUGAUCUCUCCGGCGCAGACGGCCUUCCUCAGGACAAAAUGCAUAUACGAUAGCUAUCUCUACGUGCAAAAUUGUGUCAAGUCCCUCCACGCAAAGAAGACUCCGUCAUUGCUACUGAAAUUAGAUAUCUCCAAGGCUUUUGAUAAUGUCUCCUGGGAUUACCUGCUCGAGCUGCUCCAAGAGCUUGGCUUCAGCGCGAGGUGGCGCGACUGGAUCGCCCUGCUACUCUCCACAUCAUCAUCGGCCUUCCUGCUCAAUGGCAUAGCCGGGCCAAACAUAGUACACAGAAGGGGACUGCGGCAGGGCGAGCCCCUCUCGCCUUUCCUUUUCAUCCUAGCCAUAGACCCACUUCAUAGAGUGUUUAGAGCAGCGGUGGAGCACGACCUAAUCGCCCCUCUGCCGGGCCGUGAGAUCAAGCUUAGAGUCAGUCUAUAUGCAGACGAUGCAGUAAUCUUCGCAAACCCAGACCAGCAUGAAGUGCAAACCAUCAUGGAGAUACUCACUGAAUUUGGAAACGCCACUGGCCUGCAUAUCAACCCGGCAAAAUCAACAGCGACACCGAUUAGAUGUGAACACAUUGAUCUUGCUGACAUCCUUGGAAAUUUUGGUGGUUCCAUCAACUAUUUCCCCAUUAGAUAUCUAGGCCUCCCGGUGACAACGACACGGCUUAGAUUAGUGCACCUGCAGUUCCUGAUAGAUAGGAUCAAGGCUCGGCUAGCUGGCUGGAAGGGCCGCCUCCUUCCCCUGGCAAGCAGAAGAGUGCUGGUCCGCAGCGUCCUCACCGCAAUGCCAACAUUCGCCCUUUCGGUUCUACGGGUUCCACCCAAAUUACUCAAAGAAAUUGAUAAGUGUAGAAGGCGUUUCCUUUGGAAGCAGGAGGAGGAAGUAACAGGGGCCAACUGCAAGGUGAACUGGCCAACAGUCUGCGCGCCAACAGAGAAGGGAGGGCUUGGAAUCCUGGACCUGCAAAGCUUCAGCCGAGCGCUCCGGCUACGCUGGCUAUGGAUCGCCUGGAACGAUCCGGACAGACCAUGGGUUGGCACACCACCACCAUGUGAUGACACGGACAGAGCUUUGUUUGCUGCAGCAACAAAGGUGACAGUUGGAGAUGGCAAGACGGCGCUAUUCUGGCAAUCAACAUGGCUGGGACCUGGAACACUAGCUCAGGGCUUCCCAACCCUGUUCAAACACUCCCGACGCAAAAACAGGACAGUUUUUCAAGCUCUGCAAAACGAGGCAUGGAUCAAUGACCUUGAGCACGGCGAUAUCAACCGGAUACUGACUGAUUUCCUGCGGCUACACCGGCGAACUCGUGAGGCAAACGUCCAGCUAAACGAUGAUGAAAGGGACAAAAUUCAGUGGAACAGGGAGGCAAAGGGAGGAUACACAGCGAGCUCCGCUUACCAGAUGCAUUUUCAGGGACGGCACAACUCAGAGUUUGAAGACAUCAUAUGGAAAUCUUGGGCCCCUGGAAAGAUCAAAAUGUUUUGUUGGCUGCUGCUACAAAACCGAGUCUGGUCCAACGACAGACUCCAACGACGGGGCUGGCCAAAUGGCUAUUUCUGCCAGCUCUGUCUCCGGAGCCUGGAGUCAAGCAAGCACAUCAUCUGGGAAUGCCCCGAGGCUUGGAAAGUUUGGCAACGGGUGGCAUCUUGGCACGGCUGCUCCGCCUUCACGCCGACGGAUGACUGGCACCAGAAGAAGCCUUUGGUGAUUAUCAGAGAAAUAAUCAACAGGACGUCACCAACGGAGCGGAAAGGAGCAAAAACAAUGCUCCUUGCAACAUGCUGGGAGAUUUGGCAAGAGAGGAAUAGAUGCACUUUUCAAAACAAGAUAUCCUCCACCUCUGCCAUUGUGAGAGAACUGAGAAACUCACUGGAAUUAUGGAGGUUGGCGGGAGCCAACUGCAUUGAGAUCCCCUUCGGGGAGCCACCAUGA
rnacentral:rRNA from 1 species